AGAAUCAACGCUGGCGGCGUGCCUAACACAUGCAAGUCGAACGAGAAAGUGGAGCAAUCCAUUAGUAAAGUGGCGCACGGGUGAGUAACACGUGACUAACCUACCCUUGAGUGGGGGAUAACCUAGGGAAAACCUGGGCUAAUACCGCAUAAUACCUUCGGGUCAAAGGAGCAAUUCGCUUAAGGAGGGGGUCGCGGCCGAUUAGUUAGUUGGCGGGGUAAUGGCCCACCAAGACGAUGAUCGGUAUCC
rnacentral:rRNA from 1 species